rnacentral:rRNA from 1 species
CAGCAGCCACGGUAAUACGUAGGUCCCGAGCGUUGUCCGGAUUUAUUGGGCGUAAAGGGAGCGCAGGCGGUUUAGUAAGUCUGAAGUUAAAGGCAUUGGCUCAACCAAUGUAUGCUUUGGAAACUGUUAGACUUGAGUGCAGAAGGGGAGAGUGGAGUUCCAUGUGUAGCGGUGAGGUGCGUAGAUAUAUGGAGGAACACCGGUGGCGAAAGCGGCACUCUGGUCUGUCACUGACGCUGAGGCUCGAAAGCGUGGGUAGCGAACAGGAUUAGAUACCCCCGUAGUCCCUGUCUCUUAUACA